rnacentral:rRNA from 1 species
UACGUAGGGUGCGAGCGUUAAUCGGAAUUACUGGGCGUAAAGCGUGCGCAGGCGGUUCGUUGUGUCGGUGGUGAAAGCCCCGGGCUUAACCUGGGAAUGGCCAUGGAAACUGGCGAACUGGAGUGUGGCAGAGGGGGGUGGAAUUCCACGUGUAGCAGUGAAAUGCGUAGAGAUGUGGAGGAACACCGAUGGCGAAGGCAGCCCCCUGGGCUGACACUGACGCUCAGGCACGAAAGCGUGGGGAGCAAACAGG